UUUUUUUUUUUUAAUCUUUUGUCUUUUUAGGGCCGCACCCCUGGCAUAGGGAGGUUUCCAGGUUAGGAGUCUAAUCAGAGAUAUAGCUGCUGCUCGACACCAGAGCCACAGCAACGCCGGAUCCUUAACCCACUGAGCGAGACCAGGGAUCAAACCCACAUCCUCAUGGGUGCUAGCCGGGUUUGUUAACUGCUGGGCCAUGACGGGAACUCCUGAGAGUUUUUGUUUGAUUCAUUCAUCAUAGCUAAAGAAACAAGGCAGGGAAAUCUCUCCCCCAAGCCAUGGAUGGAAUCUUCAGAAGUUUUUCCAAAGUUAGGGGAGAUUCCUAUCUCCCUGCAGCCAGAAGAAGUCUUGUGACUGCGAGUGUGAGGACCCAGAGAUGGAAGCAACUGCCUACUCCACAGGGUUGAAUUUGUUUGAACAAACAAAUCUGGCAUUGUCACUGCAGUGGCUUGAGUCUCUGUCUUUUUGUCAUUGCUUAGGCCGCUCCUUCGGCAUAUGGAGGUUCCCAGGCUAGGGGUCUAAUCAGAGCUGCAGCCGCCGGCCUAUGCUAGAGCCACAGCACAGUUCAUGGCAACACCGGAUCCUUGACCCACUGAGCAAGGCCAGGGAUCGAACCCGCAACCUCAUGGUUCCUAGUCGGAUUCGUUAACCACUGCGCCAUGACGGGGACUCCUACUAUAACGCUAUUUUAACAUUGUUAAAGAAAAGGGAUUUGAACCCAAAUUAGCAUGUGUGCUGUUCACGAAGAUUUGACAUGUUGUAGAAAGUCCCAUCAUUGUAUAGCUCAUUUGAUUGUGUAAUUACAGGGAUACAUGUUGGAGUAUUAAGGUUUUUAUUAAUGCUAAUGCCGAUAGGUUUAGAAACUUUGACAUAACCGUUUUGGAAACGGAUACACGGCUGCUCAUUGGGAAAAUUAUAGUAAUUGAGAAGAGUUCCAUAUCCUGAAUUUUGUCAAGAAAUGUGUUUUGUCACAAUCAUCUUCCAAAAUGGAAAAAGCUAAACGUGGACCCCGAAGACCUAAAUUUCAAGUUUUUGUUCUGCCAGUAAUUUGUUACAUAAUACUGACAAGUCACUUUCCCUCUCUAAGUUUCUGUUUCCUAAAAUAAGGUGGUAGUUAGAUAAUCUGAAACGUGGAGCUAGAAUAACAAGGUUCUGUCUGUUUCCCGCUAUAGCUUCUGGGUCAGAGUGGAUGGCACAUGCUUAUCAUUCAGUAAAUAUUUCUUGCAUGAACUUAAGGUGAUUUACUACUGUAGCAUUCCAGGAGUUAGUGUUAUAAAUGUGAAUUAUUUCUAAUGAAUAUGAUACUGUCAUGACACAAAUAUGCUCACACACACACACACACACAUACACCUAAAAUGAGGAAGUGCCAAGUAUUACAUAGCUUCUUAGUAACUGCUGUCUCAGAGUUCCUGUUGUGGCUCAUUGGGAACAAUCUGACUAGCAUCCCUGAGGACGCAGUUUUGAUCCCUGGCCUUGCUCGGUGGGUUAAAGAUCCGGCGUUGCCAUGAGCUGUGGUGUAGGUCACAGACAGGGCUUGGAUUCCUGUCUGUGACCCCCAGGGAUCCCCACGAUGCUGUGGCUGCGGCGUAGACCAGCAGCUGUAGCUCCGAUAGGACCCCUAGCCUGGGAUAUGGACCUCUAUAUGCCGUAGGUGCGGCCCUCAAAAGACAAAAGACCAAAAAAUAAAUAAAUGAAUAAUGAAAAAUAAAAAUCAGAUACGUAUCUUCAUCUAUUUCUUCAGAAGAUAGAGACACACUCGGAUAUGUUAGCAUUAGACCAAACUGGUGAAAGUUCUUUUUGAUGUAAUCUUAGCAACAAUUGGGCUAGCUGAAAUUGCUCACUGAGCCCUGAAUUGCCAUUUCCCAACAACGUCUCAUUUUAUAGCAUUUUCCCUGGCCCAUCUUUUGGAAUAUUCCUCUUGUCACUCAGUUUGCCUCCUCCCCCACCAAAAUAUCUUUGCUCAGAUGAAACUCCCUUACCUAAAGAAAUGAAUAAAUGAUUAUUUCCCAGAGACAGUUAUAUUUGAAAAGAAAACCAUUUCCUAAACAAAUCUCCAAUUG
rnacentral:lncRNA from 1 species